rnacentral:rRNA from 1 species
GUCCACACGGUAAACGAUGAAUACUCGCUGUUUGCGAUAUACAGCAAGCGGCCAAGCGAAAGCGUUAAGUAUUCCACCUGGGGAGUACGCCGGCAACGGUGAAACUCAAAGGAAUUGACGGGGGCCCGCACAAGCGGAGGAACAUGUUGUUUAAUUCGAUGAUACGCGAGGAACCUUACCCGGGCUUAAAUUGCAGAUGAAUUACGGUGAAAGCCGUAAGCCGCAAGGCAUCUGUGAAGGUGCUGCAUGGUUUUCGU